rnacentral:rRNA from 1 species
AGUGAACGCUGGCGGUAGGCCUAACACAUGCAAGUCGAACGGCUGCACAGGAGAGCUUGCUCUCUGGGUGGCGAGUGGCGGACGGGUGAGGAAUACAUCGGAAUCUACUCUGUCGUGGGGGAUAACGUAGGGAAACUUACGCUAAUACCGCAUACGACCUACGGGUGAAAGCAGGGGACCUUCGGGCCUUGCGCGAUUGAAUGAGCCGAUGUCGGAUUAGCUAGUUGGCGGGGUAAAGGCCCACCAAGGCGACGAUCCGUAGCUGGUCUGAGAGGGUGAUCGGCCACACUGGAGCUGAGACACGGUCCAGACUCCUACGGGAGGCAGCAGUGGGGAAUAUUGGACAAUGGGCGCAAGCCUGAUCCAGCCAUACCGCGUGGGUGAAGAAGGCCUUCGGGUUGUAAAGCCCUUUUGUUGGGAAAGAAAUCCAGCUGGCUAAUACCCGGUUGGGAUGACGGUACCCAAAGAAUAAGCACCGGCUAACUUCGUGCCAGCCGCCGCCGUAA